AUGCAGUCGAGCGGUAGAGAGAAGCUUGCUUCUCUUGAGAGCGGCGGACGGGUGAGUAAUGCCUAGGAAUCUGCCUGGUAGUGGGGGAUAACGUUCGGAAACGAACGCUAAUACCGCAUACGUCCUACGGGAGAAAGCAGGGGACCUUCGGGCCUUGCGCUAUCAGAUGAGCCUAGGUCGGAUUAGCUAGUUGGUGAGGUAAUGGCUCACCAAGGCGACGAUCCGUAACUGGUCUGAGAGGAUGAUCAGUCACACUGGAACUGAGACACGGUCCAGACUCCUACGGGAGGCAGCAGUGGGGAAUAUUGGACAAUGGGCGAAAGCCUGAUCCAGCCAUGCCGCGUGUGUGAAGAAGGUCUUCGGAUUGUAAAGCACUUUAAGUUGGGAGGAAGGGCAUUAACCUAAUACGUUAGUGUUUUGACGUUACCGACAGAAUAAGCACCGGCUAACUCUGUGCCAGCAGCCGCGGUAAUACAGAGGGUGCAAGCGUUAAUCGGAAUUACUGGG
rnacentral:rRNA from 1 species